CCUACGGGUGGCUGCAGUCGAGAAUCAUUCACAAUGGGGGAAACCCUGAUGGUGCGACGCCGCGUGGGGGAAUGAAGGUCUUCGGAUUGUAAACCCCUGUCAUGUGGGAGCAAAUUAAAAAGAUAGUACCACAAGAGGAAGAGACGGCUAACUCUGUGCCAGCAGCCGCGGUAAUACAGAGGUCUCAAGCGUUGUUCGGAAUCACUGGGCGUAAGGCGUGCGUAGGCUGUUUCGUAAGUCGUGUGUGAAAGGCGCGGGCUCAACCCGCGGACGGCACAUGAUACUGCGAGACUAGAGUAAUGGAGGGGGAACCGGAAUGCUCGGUGUAGCAGUGAAAUGCGUAGAUAUCGAGAGGAACACUCGUGGCGAAGGCGGGUUCCUGGACAUUAACUGACGCUGAGGCACGAAGGCCAGGGGAGCGAAAGGGAUUAGAUACCCCGGUAGUC
rnacentral:rRNA from 1 species